GCCUGGGUGGCUUAGUCGGUUAAGCGUCUGACUUUGGCUCAGGUCAUGAUCUUGUGGUUCGUGAGUUCAAGCCCCAUGUUGGGCU
rnacentral:tRNA from 1 species